AUUGAACGCUGGCGGCAGGCCUAACACAUGCAAGUCGAACGGUAACAGGAAGAAGCUUGCUUCUUUGCUGACGCGUGGCGGACGGGUGAGUAAUGUCUGGGAAACUGCCUGAUGGAGGGGGAUAACUCCUGGAAACGGUAGCUCAUACCGCAUAACGUCGCAAGACCAAAGAGCGGGACCUUCGGGCCCCUUGCCCUCGGAUGUGCCCAGAUGGGAUUAGCUAGAAGGUGGGGUAACGGCUCACCUAGGCGACGAUCCCUAGCUGGUCUGAGAGGAUGACCAGCCACACUGGAACUGAGACACGGUCCAGACUCCUACGGGAGGCAGCAGUGGGGAAUAUUGCACAAUGGGCGCAAGCCUGAUGCAGCCAUGCCGCGUGUAUGAAGAAGGCCUUCGGGUUGUAAAGUACUUUCGGCGGGGAGGAAGGGAGGAAAGUUAAUACCUUUGCUCAUUGACGUUACCCGCAGAAGAAGCACCGGCUAACUCCGUG
rnacentral:rRNA from 1 species